rnacentral:rRNA from 1 species
AUUGAACGCUGGCGGAAUGCUUUACACAUGCAAGUCGAACGGCAGCAUAGAGAGCUUGCUCUCUGAUGGCGAGUGGCGAACGGGUGAGUAACAUAUCGGAACGUACCUAGUAAUGGGGAACAACUAAUCGAAAGAUUAGCUAAUACCGCAUACGACCUACGGGUGAAAGCAGGGGAUCUUCGGACCUUGCGUUAUUAGAGCGGCCGAUAUCUGAUUAGGUAGUUGGUGGGGUAAAAGCCUACCAAGCCGACGAUCAGUAGCUGGUCUGAGAGGACGAUCAGCCACACUGGAACUGAGACACGGUCCAGACUCCUACGGGAGGCAGCAGUGGGGAAUUUUGGACAAUGGGGGCAACCCUGAUCCAGCCAUUCCGCGUGAGUGAAGAAGGCCUUCGGGUUGUAAAGCUCUUUCGCAAGAGAAGAAAUCUUGCUAUUUAAUAAAUAGUAAGGAUGACGGUAUCUUGACAAGAAGCACCGGCUAACUACGUGCCAGCAGCCGCGGUAAUACGUAGGGUGCAAGCGUUAAUCGGAAUUACUGGGCGUAAAGCGUGCGCAGGCGGUUUUAUAAGUCAGAUGUGAAAUCCCCGAGCUCAACUUGGGAACUGCGUUUGAAACUGUAAGACUAGAGUGUGUCAGAGGGGGGUAGAAUUCCAUGUGUAGCAGUGAAAUGCGUAGAUAUGUGGAGGAAUACCAAUGGCGAAGGCAGCCCCCUGGGAUAACACUGACGCUCA